rnacentral:rRNA from 1 species
UACGGGGGAUGCAAGCGUUAUCCGGAUUUAUUGGGCGUAAAGCGUCUGUAGGUUGUUUACUAAGUCUGUUGUUAAAGACCAGGGCUCAACCCUGGGAAUGCGAUGGAAACUAAUAAACUUGAGUAUGGCAGGGGUAGAGGGAAUUUCUAGUGUAGCGGUGAAAUGCGUAGAUAUUAGAAAGAACACCGGUGGCGAAAGCGCUCUACUGGACCAUUACUGACACUCAGAGACGAAAGCUAGGGGAGCGAAAGGG